rnacentral:rRNA from 1 species
GACAGAGGUCCCGAGCGUUAGGCGGAAUCACUGGGCUUAAAGCGUGUGUAGGCGGAUUUGUAAGUACCUUGUGAAAUCCCACGGCUUAACCGUGGAACUGCUUGGUAUACUGCUUAUCUUGAGCCACUUAGGGGCAACCGGAACAAACGGUGGAGCGGUGAAAUGCGUAGAUAUUGGGAGGAACACCAGUGGCGAAGGCGGCUCACUGGACCGGUACUGACGCUGAUGCGCGAAAGCGUGGGGAGCAAACGGG